rnacentral:ncRNA from 2 species
CUAACGUGUGCAGGAGAGUGCCGCAUCCGGCUACGGUGCGGCCGCCGAAGGCGCAGACGCCCUUAAAUCGCUCAGGCAUCAGGGACUGCACGCUGCAA